UUUUGUUAAUAAACUAAGUAAGUUUAUAUUGAAUAAAAAAUGCAUCAGAAAAAAGAUAAAAAACAAAAUUAAGAAAUUCCAGUGCCCAUUUUGUGGUGAGCUACGUCAUGUGGAUUUGGACACUAGUAAAGUUUUUUUUACGUAUAAUUGAAAAAUUAUUUUCUUUCUCGGCCAAUAAACAAGUUUUGUUAAUAAACUAAAUAAGUUUAUAUUGAAUAAAAAAUGCAUCAGAAAAAAGAUAAAAAACAAAAUUAAGAAGUUCCAGUGCCCAUUUUGUGGUGAGCUACGUCAUGUGGAUUUGGACACUAGUAAAGUUUUUUUACGUAUAAUUGAAAAAUUAUUUUCUUUCUCGGCCAAUAUAAUGAAAGAUUUCAAGAUUUGUCUAAAAUGUCACAGUUUUAUACAAUCAAUUUGUGCAUUUUGCAACCAAGUCCACAAUGCUUCACAAAAAUUAAAAAGAAAAGAAAAGUAUACCAAUAAGUUUUGUACAUUUACGUACAAAAUAUAAUUCUAUAAUUAAAGAAAAUAAUCAUGAAAAUUUAGAAAUAAUAGAAGUAGAAAACAACCAAGGUUUUCUAGAUGGGAUUAAUGAUGACAAUCAUAAUUCAGAUAAUGAAUUGGACCAAUAUUUUAUUGAAAUUGCAACUAAUGACAAUUAUUAAGACUUAACAAAUUCAGGAAAUAAAUCAAAACAUUAUUGAAACUCCAAAACUGGAAAUUAUGACGAUUGUACUAAAAGUUCAUAUCAAACUGAAACGAAAAAUGAAAACUAAUCAACGCCAAUACAUAGUUUCAAAGUAAAAAAGAGUGGAGAAGUAUUCUUAAACAAAAAAAAUUAAAAAUUUAUCAAAGAAAAAAAAGGAUGUGAUAUAUGUGGAAAAACCAUUUCAAGUAGUUGGCAUUUAAGAGAACAUAAAAAAUUGCAUGUUUUUUUUAAGUGCCCACAUUGUGAUCUCGAAUAUCCGAAAAAUUGGACAAUGAUAAAUCAUUCUCGUAAUAAGAAUUCUAAAGAAAAAUCAUUGUGUGAAAUAUGUGGUAAAGGAUUUGCAAGCAACUGAUAUUUAAGACUGCAUCGUGCCAUGCAUUUAUCCGUUGAGGAAAGAGAGUUCUGUAAAUUCGAAAUUUCUAGCUAAAAGUUUAGUACUUACGCAAGUUUAAAAUAUCACAAAUUACAUUUAUCUGUUGAAGAAAAAAAGAUUAGAUUUUUCAAAUGUCCGCAUUGUGAUAUAAAAUGUUCAAGAAAGAGGUCUCUAAUAAACCAUAUACGUACUAAGAACUCAAAGCAAAAUGCUUUCACAUACGAAAUUUGUGAUAAAGUGUUUGCCGCUAAAAGAUACAAGUAAAAGAUAAGGAAUACAAAUCAAUAAUAUCGUUAACUAAUUAUGCCGUGUAUGUUUAUGAUGCAUAUGAAUUCAAAGAUAAGAAGCAAUGUUGAUACUAAAAACAGCGCUUACAUCUGGAGCAAGGAUAUAAAUUAUGUACUGAAAAUAUUUGCAAGAUUUCCAUGAUCAUCAAUUUCCGUGAGGAGGUCACAAAGUUUCCGUGCUCAUCAAGUUCAGUGCAAACGUUAACUUUCAACAAAACUUAUCACAUCACUAAAACUAUAGUAAUUUUAUGAUACAUUUUAGGAAUGCAAAAACUUAAUAACUAGCGUUUUAUUGCUGAAAAUUAAUGCUUGUUUAUUUAAUUGGUUAUUUCUGGUAAAAUUUAUAUGAUAUGUAUAAGAAAAGCGUGCUCGAUACCCAAUUUACUUUUAUUUUACGUAUCCACUACGUAUAGAACGCAUUUUGGAAAA